UUAUGAUUCAGAUGUGUAACUAGGGUGGACAUCUCUUUGGAUUGAAGAGGAAGAUGGCAAAGCUAAGAUAGCUCCCAUGAAGAUGAAAGUUCAGUUCACGCUCCAAGUGCCCCAAGAUGAUAUCAAAUCCUCUGCUUUGACGUUCAGUGUGAAAAAGAGAUGGGACAUAUGACUUUAAAGGUUGCACAGUGAUGGUCUCUUCUUUUUUCACUGCAAUGAUGAACGUGGUGUAUCCGAAAAAAAAGAGAGAUGAACAUGGUGUAUCAAGUGAUAGUGCAGGCUUGAGUAUAGGUGUUGUAAUCAAUAUUGCUAUGCCAAACAGGUCACCAUAUUGGAUAGAAGAUUACCUUUAUUAUGAUAGAGCUGAAAAGAAAUGAUCAAGCAUUAUGCCUUGGAUAA